rnacentral:rRNA from 1 species
AAUCAACGCUGGCGGCGUGCCUCAGACAUGCAAGUCGAACGCGAAAGUUCCCUUCGGGGGGCGAGUAGAGUGGCGCACGGGUGAGUAACACGUAGGUAAUCUACCUUUGGGUGGGGAAUAACAGCCGGAAACGGCUGCUAAUACCGCAUAAUGCAGCGGCUCGACAUCGAGACAGUUGUUAAAGCGGGGGAUCGCAAGACCUCGCGCCUAAAGAGGAGCCUGCGGCGGAUUAGCUUGUUGGUGAGGUAAUGGCUCACCAAGGCAUCGAUCCGUAGCCGGCCUGAGAGGGCGGUCGGCCACACUGACACUGACAUACGGGUCAGACUCCUACGGGAGGCAGCAGUCGGGAAUUUUGGGCAAUGGGCGCAAGCCUGACCCAGCAACGCCGCGUGAAGGAUGAAAUCCCUCGGGAUGUAAACUUCGCAAGAACAGGAAGAAUAAGUGGGGG